AGAGAAAUUUGGAUUAAUACCUCAUAGUAUAGCAGUUCGCAUGAAACCACUAUUAAAGUCACAACGGCAAAAGAUGAGCAUGCGUCCCAUUAGCUUGUUGGUAAGGUAACGGCUUACCAAGGCAACGAUGGGUAGGGGGUCCUGAGAGGGAGAUCCCCCACACUGGUACUGAGACACGGACCAGACUCCUACGGGAGGCAGCAGUGAGGAAUAUUGGACAAUGGGCGCAAGCCUGAUCCAGCCAUGCCGCGUGCAGGAUGACGGUCCUAUGGAUUGUAAACUGCUUUUGUACAGGAAGAAACACUGGUUCGUGAACCGGCUUGACGGUACUGUAAGAAUAAGGAUCGGCUAACUCCGCG
rnacentral:rRNA from 1 species